rnacentral:lncRNA from 1 species
CUUUCCCUGCUGCUCUCAGGUCCCCUGCAGGCCUUGGCCCCUUUCCUCAUCUGUAGACACACUUGAGUAGCCCAGGCACAGCCAUGGGAGAUUCGGAGAUGGCAGUCUUUGGGGCUGCCGCCCCCUACCUGCGCAAGUCAGAGAAGGAGCGGCUAGAAGCGCAGACCAGGCCUUUUGACCUCAAGAAGGAUGUCUUCGUGCCUGAUGACAAACAGGAGUUUGUCAAGGCCAAGAUCGUGUCUCGAGAGGGUGGCAAAGUCACUGCCGAGACCGAGUAUGGCAAGACAGUGACCGUGAAGGAGGACCAGGACCAAGUAUGAGACGGACGCCAUUCAGCGGACUGAGGAGCUCGAGGAGGCCAAGAAGAAGCUGGCCCAGCGGCUGCAGGAAGCUGAGGAGGCCGUGGAGGCUGUUAAUGCCAAGUGCUCCUCGCUGGAGAAGACCAAGCACCGGCUACAGAAUGAGAUCGAGGACUUGAUGGUGGACGUAGAGCGCUCCAAUGCUGCUGCUGCAGCCCUGGACAAGAAGCAGAGGAACUUCGACAAGAUCCUGGCCGAGUGGAAGCAGAAGUAUGAGGAGUCGCAGUCGGAGCUGGAGUCCUCGCAGAAGGAGGCUCGCUCCCUCAGCACAGAGCUCUUCAAACUCAAGAACGCCUAUGAGGAGUCCCUGGAACAUCUGGAGACCUUCAAGCGGGAGAACAAAAACCUGCAGGAGGAGAUCUCCGACUUGACUGAGCAGUUGGGUUCCAGCGGAAAGACUAUCCAUGAGCUGGAGAAGGUCCGAAAGCAGCUGGAGGCCGAGAAGAUGGAGCUGCAGUCAGCCCUGGAGGAGGCCGAGGCCUCCCUGGAGCACGAGGAGGGCAAGAUCCUCCGGGCCCAGCUGGAGUUCAACCAGAUCAAGGCAGAGAUCGAGCGGAAGCUGGCAGAGAAGGACGAGGAGAUGGAACAGGCCAAGCGCAACCACCUGCGGGUGGUGGACUCGCUGCAGACCUCCCUGGACGCAGAGACACGCAGCCGCAACGAGGCCCUGAGGGUGAAGAAGAAGAUGGAAGGAGACCUCAAUGAGAUGGAGAUCCAGCUCAGCCACGCCAACCGCAUGGCCGCCGAGGCCCAGAAGCAAGUCAAGAGCCUCCAGAGCUUGUUGAAGGACACCCAGAUUCAGCUGGACGAUGCAGUCCGUGCCAACGACGACCUGAAGGAGAACAUCGCCAUCGUGGAGCGGCGCAACAACCUGCUGCAGGCUGAGCUGGAGGAGUUGCGUGCCGUGGUGGAGCAGACAGAGCGGUCCCGGAAGCUGGCGGAGCAGGAGCUGAUUGAGACUAGUGAGCGGGUGCAGCUGCUGCAUUCCCAGAACACCAGCCUCAUCAACCAGAAGAAGAAGAUGGAUGCUGACCUGUCCCAGCUCCAGACUGAAGUGGAGGAGGCAGUGCAGGAGUGCAGGAAUGCUGAGGAGAAGGCCAAGAAGGCCAUCACGGAUGUAAGCCGCCAUGAUGGCAGAGGAGCUGAAGAAGGAGCAGGACACCAGCGCCCACCUGGAGCGCAUGAAGAAGAACAUGGAACAGACCAUUAAGGACCUGCAGCACCGGCUGGACGAAGCCGAGCAGAUCGCCCUCAAGGGCGGCAAGAAGCAGCUGCAGAAGCUGGAAGCGCGGGUGCGGGAGCUGGAGAAUGAGCUGGAGGCCGAGCAGAAGCGCAACGCAGAGUCGGUGAAGGGCAUGAGGAAGAGCGAGCGGCGCAUCAAGGAGCUCACCUACCAGACGGAGGAGGACAGGAAAAACCUGCUGCGGCUGCAGGACCUGGUAGACAAGCUGCAGCUAAAGGUCAAGGCCUACAAGCGCCAGGCCGAGGAGGCGGAGGAGCAAGCCAACACCAACCUGUCCAAGUUCCGCAAGGUGCAGCACGAGCUGGAUGAGGCAGAGGAGCGGGCGGACAUCGCCGAGUCCCAGGUCAACAAGCUGCGGGCCAAGAGCCGUGACAUUGGCACGAAGGGCUUGAAUGAGGAGUAGCUUUGCCACAUCUUGAUCUGCUCAGCCCUGGAGGUGCCAGCAAAGCCCCAUGCUGGAGCCUGUGUAACAGCUCCUUGGGAGGAAGCAGAAUAAAGCAAUUUUCC